rnacentral:tRNA from 2 species
GUAAAGUCAGCUAAUAAAGCUCUUGGGCCCAUACCCCAAAAAUGUUGGUGAAACCCCUCCUUUACUA